rnacentral:rRNA from 1 species
UACAGAGGUGGCAAGCGUUGUUCGGAAUUACUGGGCGUAAAGGGCGCGUAGGCGGCCUUCUAAGUCAGACGUGAAAUCCCCCGGCUUAACCUGGGAACUGCGUCUGAUACUGGGAGGCUUGAGUAUGGGAGAGGGAUGUAGAAUUCCAGGUGUAGCGGUGAAAUGCGUAGAUAUCUGGAGGAACACCGGUGGCGAAGGCGGCAUCCUGGACCGAGAUUGACGCUGAGGCGCGAAAGCCAGGGGAGCAAACGGG